rnacentral:lncRNA from 1 species
CCGGCCUGUGCACCUUCUUCAGCUGCAUCCUGGCGGUCUUCUUCCACACCCCAUACCGGCGCCUGCAGGCCGAGUCUGGGGAGCCCCCCUCCACCCGUAACGCCGUGGGCGGCGCAGACUCAGGGCCGGGUGUGGACCGAGGGGGAGCAGGAAGGGCUGGGGUCCUGGGGCCCAGCACGGCGACUCCGGAGUGCACGGCGAGGGGGGCCUCGCUAGAGGACCCCAGAGGGCCCGGGAGCCCCCACCCAGCCUGCCACCGAGCGACUCCCCGUGCGCAAGGCCCAGCAGCCACCGACGCGCCCUCCCGCCCCGGCAGACUCGCAGGCAGGGUCCAAGCGUCCAGGUUUAUUGACCCGGCUGGGUCUCACUCCUCCUUCUCCUCCCCGUGGGUGAUCACGUAGCUGAGCGCCUUGUAGUCCAGGUUGCCCGCCACAUCGAUGGAGGCGAACUGGAACAUCUGGUCCACCUGCGGGCGGGGGCGAAAGGGCUCCUUGCGGGCUCCGGGAGCGAAUUACAAGCGCGCACCUGC